GACGAACGCUGGCGGCGUGCUUAACACAUGCAAGCCGAACGGAAAGGCCCUGCUUUUGUGGGGUGCUCGAGUGGCGAACGGGUGAGUAACACGUGAGUAACCUGCCCUUGACUUCGGGAUAACUUCAGGAAACUGGGGCUAAUACCGGAUAGCAGCUCCUGCUGCAUGGUGGGGGCUGGUAAGUUUCGGCGGUUGGGGAUGGACUCGCGGCUUAUCAGCUUGUUGGUGGGGUAGUGGCUUACCAAGGCUCUGACGGGUAGCCGGCCUGAGAGGGUGACCGGCCACAUUGGGACUGAGAUACGGCCCAGACUCCUACGGGAGGCAGCAGUGGGGAAUAUUGCACAAUGGGCGGAAGCCUGAUGCAGCAACGCCGCGUGCGGGAUGACGGCCUUCGGGUUGUAAACCGCUUUCGCCUGUGACGAAGCGUGAGUGACGGUAAUGGGUAAAGAAGCACCGGCUAACUACGUG
rnacentral:rRNA from 1 species